rnacentral:rRNA from 1 species
AUACGGAGGAUCCGAGCGUUAUCCGGAUUUAUUGGGUUUAAAGGGAGCGUAGGCGGACGCUUAAGUCAGUUGUGAAAGUUUGCGGCUCAACCGUAAAAUUGCAGUUGAUACUGGGUGUCUUGAGUACAGUAGAGGCAGGCGGAAUUCGUGGGGUAGCGGUGAAAUGCUUAGAUAUCACGAAGAACUCCGAUUGCGAAGGCAGCCUGCGGGACUGUAACUGACGCUGAUGCUCGAAAGUGUGGGUAUCAAACAGGAUUAGAUACCCUGGUAGUCCACACAGUAAACGAUGAAUACUCGCUGUUUGCGAUAUACAGUAAGCGGCCAAGCGAAAGCGUUAAGUAUUCCACCUGGGGAGUACGCCGGCAACGGUGAAACUUAAAGGAAUUGACGGGG